AAUACUUUUCCGCCUGUUUGCUUCGUCGUAAAAAUAUUUUUCCCGUGAAAGUACUUUUACGGGUUUUGUGAAAAAUUGAAAUUUUCGUUUUCCCCUUACUUUCGGCAGAAAACUCAAACUCAAACUGUAUAAAACUUUUUUCAUUUAUUUUUUUCACCAAACCAAAUAAAUAUAGAUUUUUUUCUUUCAACCAAACAAAUGUUGAUGAAAACUAUUUUUCUUUUUCCCUACAAAUCAAAUAUUACAAAGCGUAAAACUUUUUUUUUCCCACUUAAAAUUUUUUCACAAAAAAUUAUUUUUCAUGGUUUUAAGUAGAACCAAACAAACCCUUACCUUAAU
rnacentral:lncRNA from 1 species